CCCGCCCUCUUCUCAAGGCUGCCUGGGUCAGAGUGGAUGUCGCUGGGAGAAAGGAAAGGUGGGGGAACGAUGGAUAUAGCAUCUGUAAAGACAAGGUACCACGUGAAUAAGCAAGUCUAGUCAUCCCCCCUCUGCUUCCUGGCUCUGCCAAAUAACUGAGCUCAGGAGUAAUGGAAUGGGACCCCGGGCUUGGCAGCUGUUUGUACGGAAAGAGCAUCGUCUAUACCCAAGACAGUGUGAGGGCUGUGCUGCGGGAGGGUCCCGGCCUAGCGAAGGCACCGGAUCCGAGCUUGAAGAUACCAUCAAUAUAAGAAGCACUGUAAACCAUCCAGGGGGAUAAAAGAAAAACUUGCAUGGAUUGUAAAAUGCAUCCUGAUUCCAGAGACAUUAAAAUGUGAAAACGGGGCGCCUGGGUGGCAGAGAGGAGAAAGCAGAGUCAGGGUUCUGGAGUCCAUGGGAAAAGGUUUCAUCAUGAGAUUGCAGCCCGUCAGUUCCAUCUUUGGGCUCCGCUCCUGAUUCUACUUCUCCUGCUCUUUCCAUCUGUAGCGACUUCCUACCCUGAAGUCUUGAGUCUUCAGUUUGUAAAAAACGCAAUAUCCACAAAGCACAAUAUAAGGAAGGUACACGAGGAACAGCAGCUGCUUUGAGUCCCGUGAAUACUGCCUGAAAACCGAGGCGACCCAGAGUCACUGGCAAGCAAGCCGGCAGCACCGUGGACUGUUACUGCGAGGAUCGAUAGAAGAUUCUCCGUGGGGCUCCUGGGUGGCACAGCGGUUAGGCGUCUGCCUUUGGCUCAGGGCGUGAUCCCGGUGUUAUGGGAUCGAGCCCCACAUCAGGCUCCUCUGCUAUGAGCCUGCU